rnacentral:rRNA from 1 species
AGCGAACGCUGGCGGCAGGCCUAACACAUGCAAGUCGAACGAAGUCUUCGGACUUAGUGGCGGACGGGUGAGUAACACGUGGGAACGUACCUUUUGGUUCGGAACAACUCAGGGAAACUUGAGCUAAUACCGGAUGAGCCCUUAGGGGGAAAGAUUUAUCGCCGAAAGAGCGGCCCGCGUUAGAUUAGCUAGUUGGUGAGGUAAAGGCUCACCAAGGCUACGAUCUAUAGCUGGUCUGAGAGGAUGAUCAGCCACACUGGGACUGAGACACGGCCCAGACUCCUACGGGAGGCAGCAGUGGGGAAUCUUGCGCAAUGGGCGAAAGCCUGACGCAGCCAUGCCGCGUGAAUGAUGAAGGUCUUAGGAUUGUAAAAUUCUUUUACCAGGGACGAUAAUGACGGUACCUGGAGAAAAAGCCCCGGCUAACUUCGUGCCAGCAGCCGCCGCCGUAA